rnacentral:rRNA from 1 species
CAGCUCCAAUAGCGUAUAUUAAAAUUGCUGCAGUUAAAGCGUCCGUAGUUGGAUUUCGUCCAAUUCGAAGAGAAGUCUGUCUGACCUCGUGUUAGUCAGUACACUUUUCGUUUCGGACUCGGGUGGAAUAGCUUCGGCUAUGCCGCUCUGUUACUUUGAGCAAAUUGGAGUGCUCCAACCAGGCUACAGCUUGAACAGCUCAGCAUGGAAUAACAAUAUAGGACUGCAAUCCUCCUUGUUGGUGACAUGGAACGCAAGUAAUGGUUGAUAGGGACAUACGGGGGCAUCUGUACUUGCUGGAGAGAGGUGAAAUUCUAAGACCCAGCAAAGACAAACAAGUGCGAAAGCAUUUGCCCAGUGUGUGCCUGUUAAUCAAGGACGAAAGUUGGGGGAUCGAAGACGAUUAGAUACCGUCGUAGUCCCAACUAUAAACUAUGCCGACUGAGGAUCGGAGGCUGUACAAAUACGACUCCUUCGGCACUCCAAGAGAAAUCUAAGUCUCUGGGCCCUGGGGGGAGUAUGGUCGCAAGGCUGAAACUUAAAGGAAUUGACGGAAGGGCACCACCAGGAGUGGAGCCUGCGGCUUAAUUUGGCUCAACGCGGGGAACCUCACCAGGCCCGGACAUAGUCAUGAUUGACAGAUUGAGAGUUCUUUCUCGAUUCUAUGGGUGGUGGUGCAUGGCCGUUCUUAGUCGGUGAGGUGACUUGUCUGGUUAAUUCCGAUAACGGACGAGACCUCGACCUACUAAAUAGCCGACGUUUACUUCUGUAGGCGUUUGGCUUCUUAGAGGGACUUUGUGAGUCUAUCACAAGGAAGUUCGAGCCUAUAACAGGUCUGUGAUGCCCUUAGAUGGCCUGGGCUGCACGUGCGCUACAAUGACGGAGUCGGCGAGCUCUGCCCUUCUCCGUCCGGAGUGGGAAAUCUUGUGAAACUCCGUCGUGAUAGGGAUUGACCUUUGCAAUUAUGGGUCAUGAACG